rnacentral:antisense_RNA from 1 species
CGCUAUGGCGAAUUGCGCAGGGACCCCUCACGGGGUGCCGGUUCCUAUAUCGCCGGUCCGCCAACCUUGUGCAAUUUGCCACCCUA